CAGCAGCCGCGGGAAUACGUAGGGUGCAAGCGUUAAUCGGAAUUACUGGGCGUAAAGCGUGCGCAGGCGGUUAUAUAAGACAGAUGUGAAAUCCCCGGGCUUAACCUGGGAACUGCAUUUGUGACUGUAUAGCUAGAGUACGGCAGAGGGGGAUGGAAUUCCGCGUGUAGCAGUGAAAUGCGUAGAUAUGCGGAGGAACACCGAUGGCGAAGGCAAUCCCCUGGGCCUGUACUGACGCUCAUGCACGAAAGCGUGGGGAGCAAACAGGAUUAGAUACCCCGGUAGUCCCUGUCUCUUAUAC
rnacentral:rRNA from 1 species